AUGGCCUAUAUCACUUUGCUGCCUAAGAAAGAUACCCCGCUUGCCCUGGGCGAGUACAGACCUAUCUCCUUGGUUCACAGCUUGCCAAAAUUGGCCUCCAAGGUUUUAACAAACAGGCUUGAACGCCAUAUACCAGAUUUGGUGCACCUCCUGCAAUCCGGUUUUUUGAAAGGUCGUUCGAUCAUUGAAAACUUUGCCCUAGCCACUGAGAUGGUUCAAACUGCUCACAAAAGAAAGCUGCCAGUUAUCGCCUUAAAGUUGGACUUUCAAAAGGCCUUCGACAGUGUGAGUUGGAGCUACCUUUUGCAGAUUCUUCAAGCUCAAGGCUUCCCGCAGAGGUGGAUACAAUGGAUUUCCUCCCUUCUAUCCACUGGCAAGUCACGUGUUUUAAUGAAUGGAGAGCUUGGUGAUGUUUUUUCUGCCAAGAAGGGCUUCCAUCAAGGGUAUUCUCUCUCUCCCUACCUAUUCAUCUUGGUUGCGGAUGUGCUCCAACGCCUAUGCUGCAUGCAUUUCCAGGCCGGCAACUUGCUGCACCCCUUGGUUCAGAUGCUCUGUUUCCUGUCUUGCAACAUGCGGAUGAUACUCUGCUCAUUUUCCAGGGAACUUUGCAGCAAGCUCAAGUUAUCAAAAACAUACUUUCCGCCUUCUCAGAUUUCUCUGGCCUGCAGAUAA
rnacentral:rRNA from 1 species